UAUGAGUACAUUCUGAUUUUCGUUGUAAAAGUGG
rnacentral:sRNA from 1 species